rnacentral:rRNA from 1 species
ACUCCUACGGGAGGCAGCAGUGAGGAAUAUUGGUCAAUGGACGGGAACUCUGAACCAGCCAUCCCCGCGUGUAGGUAAGAGCGGCCUUAUGGGUUNUGAAAAUCUACUUUUAUACAGGAAGAAACGUACCCUCGUGAGGGUGCCUGACGGUACCUGUAGGAAAUAAGCACCGGCCUAACUCCGUGCCAGCAGCCGCAGGUCAAUGAUGAGGGNGCGAGCGUUANCCGGGCUUUAUUGGGUUUAAAGGGUCCGUAGGCGGAUUAAUAAGUCAGUGGUGAAAUCCCAUCGCUUAACGAUGGAACUGCCAUUGAUACUGUUAGUCUUGAAUGAGGGGUGACAGUGGUUGGAAUGUGUAGUGUAGCGGUGAAAUGCAUAGAUAUUACACAGAACACCGAUUGCGAAGGCAGAUCACUAACCCUAAAUUGACGCUGAGGGACGAAAGCGUGGGGAGCGAACAGGAUUAGAUACCCUGGUAGGCGUAGU